CUCCUGGAAUGGUCUCAAGAAGCGAUUCUGGACUUCAGGUUUCUGAGGUCCUGGGAAGGACUGGGCUUGAGCAGCAGCUCUCCCGCUCAAGAGAGGGGAAGUGACCCAGUGAGGAUUCCACAGCAAGAGCGAGCACAGGCGGGUGCCCAGCCUCCUGGAUCAUGCCGCUCCUGAAUCCCGCACACCAGCACCAACCAGCCAGGCAUGUUUCCAGGGAGGAACAGCCCCGGACAACACCCCGAAUACAGCAAGUGCUGGCGCCCCAGACGGAAGCAGAGAGGCAAGGCCCUCUGAGGAGGUCCCCAGCCAGCCACAGGGAGCCGAGAGGCGGGAGGGCCGGCCGGGCCUCGUGCUCUUGGGUCUCAGCCAGGCCUUGGUCCCCACCCCAGCCAGGCCUCUAGCCAGAGUUUCUCCCAGGGCCGGUACUGGGCGGCCUCCAGAGCCUCAGCCCGCCCUGGACCUCCCCGCCUCCCUGAGG
ensembl:lncRNA